rnacentral:rRNA from 1 species
AUUGAACGCUGGCGGCAGGCCUAACACAUGCAAGUCGAGCGAGCGGCGGACGGGUGAGUAAUGUCUGGGAAACUGCCUGAUGGAGGGGGAUAACUACUGGAAACGGUAGCUUAUACCGCAUACCAUCAGAUGUGCCCAGAUGGGCUUAGCUAGUGGGUGGGGUAACGGCUCACCUAGGCGACGAUCCCUAGCGGGUCUGAGAGGAUGACCAGCCACAAUGGAACGUAGAAACGGUCCAGACUCCUACGGGAGGCAGCAGGGGGGAAUAUUGCACAAUGGGCGCAAGCCUGAUGCAGCAAUGCCGCGUGUGUGAAGAAGGCCUUCGGGUUGUAAAGCACUUUCAGCGGGGAGGCGUUACCCGAAGAAGAAGCAACGGCUAACUCCGUGCCAGCAGCCGCGGUAAUUC